CAAUGGGCCAAUGGGAACCAAUACCAAUACUGAGUGAAUACUAAUGCACCGACUACUGCGAGCAUAUUUGUGUGGCCUGUCCUCGAUUGCAGUGACACUGUCACGUUACGACCACCUGGAAUAAUCAUUUAAAACACUAUUACAAAUAAAACAAAUCCGCAAUCCGUUUACCAUCGGAACACGUCGAAUCCAUCGAUCGUAACGAAAGGAGCUCGUCAACUUCCUCGUCAAUUCUUUGAACAAUACUCCAAUAACACCAUCACGACCAACAUUCAACGGAGGAUUCUUCGAUUUCGCUAUUUUCUGUCGACAACUGCCUCGAAAUAAGAAAUUCUUUGAUCGACGAUCUGUAUCAUAUUCCAGCCAAGAGGCUUAUCGAGCAUCGAAAACAACCGUUUAACGUCCUAAAAAUCGUCGAGUACUCACCGGCAUCGAUGAUCCCUUGCGCCAAAAUGGCGCCAAAUUUCGCCAUUACAUCCUCGUGCUUGUCCACCACGACCUUCGCGUAUAAUGCCCU